GCAUCGCGAAGGGGGGAGACGAAUAAGCAAGCACUGAGGAGGAAGGGGAGCAGAGAGAGAUCACGAUAGAAUUAAUAGGGUUGAGGUGGGGUGGUGUUUCGCCUCUUAGUUCGGAGGUGUGAUCAAUCCACAAUUCCACAGUGCGGGGGGGGUUUUUGCGAAGGGGCACUUUGGGGAGGGUUGCGAGGGAGCGCCAGGCCAACACCACCACACUCAGAUUCCAAGGGUGCAGCGAAAUAUACCCUCCCCUCCCCCCACCCCAUACACACCUUCGCACCGGAAUAAGCCAGCGGGCAAGACCGAGAAACUUCCUGGAUCAGAAUCCCGUGAAGGGCCAAUUUCAGCAAGGGUGCUGCUGGCCUGACCCUUGCCAGGAUUAGGACACGCAAGGAUGCCCUGUAUUGUUCCUUUUGUCCCUUGGCUUGCGCGCGCGAACCUUCGACCCCGUUUCGCGCAGUCCUCGAUCGAUCGUCAUCAUUCCAGGAUUCGGAUGGGGUUCGUUCUCAAGGGGGCUUCGAGGCGAUCGGGCGGUAACCAGCGGAUUCUCUGGAAGGUCAAUGCUACGUCAAGGUCCACGGCUGCCUCGCGGGCGGACUUGCUGGGUGGUGAUUGGAUUGCGGCAAUUGAACGUGCGCAGCUGAGGCUUUAGAGGAUGGGGAGCCUUCCCAGCAAGUUUGGCAGGAAGGAAAGUUUGAGAACUCGGAGUUUGUGGCGGAUGUGGAACCGGCAAGGUUGGAGAAUAUUGUCGCGGUCCCUAGUUUAAUCUGCAGUGAUGAAAUGAGAAAGAUUUGAAAUUGGAGUUGGUACCAAACCUCAUGCAUAAACAUGAAGUCACGGGAGAGUUUUGACGCACAGUAAGAACCUGAACAGCUGGCGGAGUUUUUUUUCCCUUGACAGUUGAAAUUGGUCCUUGUCCUUGUCAAUUGGUUCUUUCUCUUACAUUUACAAGAGAAAGAACACUAAGAAUGAUAAAAUAACUUGAAGUAUAUUAAUAAAAAUGACUUGAUUAUAUUGCAAUAA